UACGUAGGGGCUAGCGUUAUCCGGAAUUACUGGGCGUAAAGGGUGCGUAGGCGGUCUUUCAAGCCAGAAGUGAAAGGCUACGGCUCAACCGUAGUAAGCUUUUGGAACUGUAAGACUUGAGUGCAGGAGAGGAGAGUGGAAUUCCUAGUGUAGCGGUGAAAUGCGUAGAUAUUAGGAGGAACACCAGUAGCGAAGUCGGCUCUCUGGACUGUAACUGAUGCUGAGGCACGAAAGCGUGGGGAGCAAACAGGAUUAGAUACCCGUGUAGUCCCU
rnacentral:rRNA from 1 species